GAUAAAGACAAGAUAAUAUGAUGAAAAAGUAUAUAUAUUAAAUUGGUUAAAGGAUUGAUCCAAUGUCAAAAUCUAUAUUUAACCCCUUAGGAUAUAGGGUCUGUAAUUCAAAAAUCCAAGUACUCUCUUUCUUACUAAGGUUAAAAGCGUCUUCUCCCCCUCCCUAAUGAGUUAAAACUUUUUGUUUGGCCAUAAAUUCAAUUUCUUUAGGCUUAGAAUGAUGAACCUCUAGAAAAUGUUUGGAC